rnacentral:rRNA from 1 species
GAUGAACGCUGACAGAAUGCUUUACACAUGCAAGUCUUUGGCGAAGCUGUGCUUGCACAGCCUAGCCAAGGCGGACGGGUGAGUAACGCGUAAGGAACUUGCCCUGCAGUCAGGGAUAACAGACGGAAACGACUGAUAAGACCUGGUAAAGUCAGGCGGACUCAUGUCCAGCCUGAUGAAAAGAGAUGCUGCAGGAGAGCCUUGCGUCCUAUUAGCUUGUUGGUGGGGUAACGGCCCACCAAGGCGAUGAUAGGUAGCCGGCCUGAGAGGGUGGACGGCCACAAGGGGACUGAGAUACGGCCCUUACUCCUACGGGAGGCAGCAGUGGGGAAUAUUGGACAAUGGGGGCAACCCUGAUCCAGCAAUUCUGUGUGCACGAUGAAGGUUUUCGGAUUGUAAAGUGCUUUCAGCAGGGAAGAAAAAAAUGACGGUACCUGCAGAAGAAGCGACGGCUAAAUACGUG